rnacentral:lncRNA from 1 species
UCCUGGCGACACUGAAACACGUUCGCCAGAUCAGCAGCACCAUCAACAGCAGCAGCAAGUGAAGCCCUUUAACCGCCACGGGUCUGACUUUCGUGUCAAUGGCACGAAAGCCCCCGACGACCCCUCACGCGCUUCGUCAUUUGCGUGUGAGCCCCUUCCACCGCCACAGCACCAGCAGCCAGCACCUAUGUCGCCACCAUUGGUGCCGCGGCUUCGGCUGUCGCCGCUGCCCUCCACCUCCUUCACCUCCACCUUCGCUUCCACCCUAGACUCCACUUCAAAUU